UUUCAAUCCAUAUCUAUGGCAAACAUUAGACUGUCUCUACUGACAAUAGGCAUUUUUGCUUACUAUUGACAGAUUAAUUCUAUCAAUGGCUUAAAAUCCUGCUGUGGUUCUCCUGAACUAUUCUGUUUUUCCCUGAGGACUCUGGUUCCUUCCUGUAUGGUCUGCUGUCUUUUGCUGUUUUACCUCUUUGCAUUGUAUGUCUGAAA